rnacentral:tRNA from 1 species
AGCAGGGUCGCUCAGUGGAAAGAGCACGGGCUUGGAGUCAGAGGUUGUGGGUUACAAUCCCAACUCUGCCA